AAAGGCGUAGUCGAUGGGAAAAUGGUUAAUAUUCCAUUACUUCUGUGUAAUGCGAUGAGAGGACGGAGAAGGCUAAAUCAGCCUGGCGUUGGUUGUCCAGGUGAAAGGAUGUAGGCAUGUAUCUUAGGCAAAUCCGGGGUACUCUAUGCUGAGAUCUGAUAGCAAGCUGUACUUGUACAGCGAAGUGGUUGAUGCCAUGCUUCCAGGAAAAGUCUCUAAGCUUCAGUUACACAGGAAUCGUACCCGAAACCGACACAGGUGGUCAGGUCGAGUAGACCAAGGCGCUUGAGAGAACUCUGCUGAAGGAACUAGGCAAAAUGGUACCGUAACUUCGGGAGAAGGUACGCUGUUGUUGGUGAUGGAACUCGCUUCCUGAGCUGACGACAGCCGCAGAAACCAGGCCGCUGCAACUGUUUAUUAAAAA
rnacentral:rRNA from 1 species